AAAUCUUCAAGAUAGAUCUUUCGUUCGUUCGAUUGAUUUCAUUUUGGACUUGGAGGUCUUGCAGAUUCUCAUGUCUGCUCCUCUCAAAUGCAUUAGCUGGAUCUCCGUGAGCCUCGGUUCCACUCGGUGUGAUAAGUAAUCGCUCGCUGAGGACACUGUAAAAAGUGGCUGGGCCCCAGGGAUGAACUGCUUCCAACCGUCCAUUGGCUUGGACGAUUGAACCUUUAUG
rnacentral:misc_RNA from 2 species